rnacentral:rRNA from 1 species
AACAAAAACAUGUCUUUUUGAUAAUAAUUUAAAGUCUAGCCUGCCCAAUGAUUAUUAAUUGAAUGGCCGCGGUAUUUUGACCGUGCUAAGGUAGCAUAAUAAUUAGUUUUUUAAUUGAGAACUGGUAUGAAUGGCUGGACAAAGAAAACUCUGUCUCAAGUUUAAUUUAAUUAGAAUUUUAUUUUUAAGUUAAAAAGCUUAAAUGAUUUUAAAAGACGAGAAGACCCUAUAGAGUUUUAUAUUAUUUAUUAUAAAUAAUUUAAGGAAUUAUAUAUUUUAUAUAUUAAAUAGUAUUUUGUUGGGGUGACAAAAAAAUUAAAUGAACUUUUUUUAUAUUUUAUCAUUAAUUUAUGAUUAAGUGAUCCAUUUUUUAUGAUUAUAAGAUUAAAUUACCUUAGGGAUAACAGCGUAAUUUUUUUUGAGAGUUCAUAUCGAAAAGAAAG